rnacentral:rRNA from 1 species
UACAGAGGGUGCGAGCGUUGUUCGGAAUUAUUGGGCGUAAAGCGCUGGUAGGUGGCUUGUUAAGUCGCGUGUGAAAGCUCCAGGCUCAACCUGGAAAGUGCGCGCGAAACUGGCGAGCUUGAGUGUCGGAGAGGAUCGCGGAAUUCCGGGUGUAGAGGUGAAAUGCGCAGAUAUCAGGAGGAACACCGGUGGCGAAGGCGGGUCUCUGGGCAUUAACUGACGCUCAUGCACGAAAGCGUGGGGAGCAAACAGG